CUGUUUGUUGCCCGACCUAAUCUGUUUUUUGUCUCUGAGUCUGCCUAACCCCUUUCAAGCUCUGUUGCCGGUCUGGACUCCCACCGAUCAGCCCGUGGUCCUCUGCAUCGGACUGGACUCAUCCUGGACCUCUGAAUCUGGACUGCCUGCCUGUUGCCCGACCCUGAUCUGUUUGUGAGUAACCGCAUCUGACUAACCCCUGUGAACCUCUGAACUCAGCCGGACUAAGGACCUGGGCUGGACCCCGACCCGCUCUGGAUCCGUCUCUGGACCCUCUCUGGACUUCUAACCCCUCGGCUCCUUCCCCGGACCCCCGUUUCUCUGCCCCGCUUCCUCGUUACUAGCCGGCGCUCGAAUUACCCGACUCUCCAGGGUUCCUGCAGACGUGAGCCGCUCGGGUUGCCGUGCGACCGCCAUUAAAUAAACACUUGAAAGCGUCA